rnacentral:rRNA from 1 species
UACGUAGGUGGCAAGCGUUGUCCGGAUUUACUGGGUGUAAAGGGCGUGUAGCCGGGUUGACAAGUCAGAUGUGAAAUCCUGCGGCUUAACCGCAGAACUGCAUUUGAAACUGUUGAUCUUGAGUACUGGGGAGGCAGACGGAAUUCCUAGUGUAGCGGUGAAAUGCGUAGAUAUUAGGAGGAACACCAGUGGCGAAGGCGGUCUGCUGGACAGCAACUGACGGUGAGGCGCGAAAGCGAGGGGAGCAAACAGG